CGAUUAUCGAUUGGACGUAGUUAAAGGAAAAGGAUCCAAUCCACAAAAAUACCAAAACAUGAGUUAAGUAUACCAGGCAGGCCUUUAAUGUGUAUAUUUUCAUUCAGCAAAAAAGCACUGAGCUCACAUAGCGUUUUCAUAUUUUAAUCGACAUCGGAUACCAUCCCCCAUGUAUGAAAGAUUAAAAAUGAUAUUCACCAAUAAGUAUUCAAUACUCUUGGUACCUUGUUGUAAAAUUAGGUUAGUGACAGGACUGGUUUAUAUAAAUUUCAACAAGAAAAAUCCAAAUUGCUUGGAAUCUUUUUGAGAAAAUGCAAUGAAUACUUUUCGUCCUAAAUAUAUAUCAACAAAACUGAUCCAACCCAUUUGGAUCGUUUUUAAGAAACUAAUUUGACGAUGUGUAAAUACUUUAGCUAAACAACAAAAACGAUUCAGCAAACUUGGAUCACAUUUGUGGAAUUCUUGUUAUUCCAGCAUUGGUGUAUCAGUAAACAACAAAAACGAUUCAUGUUAAAUAUAUUAACUUUAGGCUGACUUUUUAAAUUUAAACAACUUUAUACUUAACCUAAAAGGCAGUUUUACUGCUAUGUUAGGCUAAUUUUGAAUUUUUUACUAUAUAUGUCGACUUGGAUCGUAAUUCAUAAACAAACUAAAUAGACGAGGAAAAAUAACAGAAAUCAUUCAAACUGUUUGAAUCAUUUUUGCAGGUUUAAAUUAACUUGUUCUUAUAUUCAGCGUCAAACAUCAAAGUCGAUUUAAGUUACUUGGAUCUUUUUUGAUCAUUUACUCCAGGUAUAGUUUCAUAGUGGCAAAUUAAUCAACGGAAAAGAUCCAGUUUACAUGAAUACGUUAUAGGGAUUUUUUUUAAUUUAAAAUGGCAAUAUAAUGCUAAAUUUUAAUAACGAUCCAUGUUAAUUAUAUUGUUCAUAAAAAAAUUUGCUUUUAGUAUUAAUUUCGUUUAUACGUUGCUGGUAUUAAUAAUGUUAUAGUAAUUAUAAUUUUGAAACUUUGCCUAUCAUUUUUGUAACUUAAAAAACUGAUUUUGCUAUUGCGUCAUGCUGUGCAUUGUCGCGAAAGAGAGGCCUGUGGAUUUGUAACGACAAAAAUGGUGAGUAAAAGCUAUUUUGGUUGAGUCCAUCAAAACUUCUUCCGACUUACAAGAUAAAUUAUUAAAGUUCUGUUCUAAUAUGACUGUGUAUGUUAUUAUUUAGCUGAGAAUAGCGAUCCUAAAUUUUUUGCAAGGAAGGCAUGCUAUGACAAGAAUGAAAAAAAUGACGAAAAUAGGCAUAAAACGGGACUGGCGGGACCUUGCUCAGCACAGGGAGGAUUGGAAAGCUAGAGGGGAGGCCUUUGCCCAGCAGUGGGACACACAAAUA